UCCCCAAAUACCUGCUCGAUUACAAAUUAAAGCAAAGCAUUUGAAAGAAAUGAAGAUACACAUGUAUCGUAACAGAUACAGAGUCUGUUGUCAGAGUUUGCAAUGCAUUAUUUCGUUUAUCCUCAUUAGCCUAUUAUAUAUUAUACUUUUGUGUGACUAUGUGUGAAGGAACGUAGGAAUAAGGACAGGAAAUAGUCCAUAAGGACUAAACGGUGAAGUGGAGACUGAAAUCCAGGCUGUUCGAUCACUUUCUUUGCGCUUUCUCAGAGGAUGCUAAAAAUGAGGGUUCUCUCUCCCUCGGAAGUAUGAAGGAGUCUACACAAGUCGGCGCCAGACCUUUUAGCAGAAAUAAAGCUCUGUUAAGAGUUCGGGAAGUGGUCGGAGAAAGUGGACGUAGAAUUCCUGCAGGAAGAAGUGGUUGCACAGAAGAGACGGGGCUGAGCGCCAACGUUUAAGUGGCAGGUGAAAGGGGAGGAACCCUGGUCCUCGGCUUCCGCUUUUGUCUGCGCCCCUUCCCGCUUCGGCUCUGCGAGGAUUCCUACGCGCCCCCGCCCUGAGUCCGCCCGUCCGCCUGGGGGCGCCCAAGGCCAAAGGCGUGGGGCGUGGGGCGGGGUGUUGCGGCGCCGCCCGACGUCGUGCCCUCCGCGGCUGCGCAGUUCGCACGUCAAAGCCGGGCUCGGGCCGGGAACGGGGGUUUCGGGGAGCGGCGCGGCCUGGGGAGCGUCUGAAGGUCCGGGAGCCGGGAGAACGCGAAGGCAGCAGCCGGCCCCGCCGCAAAGCCGCAGCCCGAACGAGUGAGCGAGAGCAGCAGCAGUGCGGCGGCCGCCGCGGGAGCCUCUGGGCCGCCGUCCUCCCGCGCAGCCGCCGCCGCCGCCGCAGGAUCCUGUCGCCGGGAGCAGGAGCGGGCGGAAGACAACGGAGGGGCCGAGCGCCCAAGCCGCGCCGCGGGGACCGAGCGAGCAGCCCGAGGCGGCGGCGGCCGCCGAAGACGGGGACGGCGACGACGCGGAGGCGGAGAGGGAGCCGCCCGGCCCAGCCCCGGAAUGGUGCGGCCGGAGCGUUCCCCCGUGUUCGGUUGGAUCAACCUGCGCGCUGACCCUGCUUGCAGGCGCCACCCCCGCCCUCCGGUCGGUCGGCGCCGGAGGGAUUCAAAAGGUGAAGCCGGGCCCCGGGGGCCCCCUUCCCACCCUCCCCCCAACCCCGGGGGGUACAUUAGACGCUCUCGGUGCGGGAGAUAAGGCACGAUACCGGGCCUGUGAAAGACCUACAAAAUGCUAAGAAAGGUACCCGGGAGAGACCGGGACCGAUCGAUCACACCCUUCGGCCUAGUAGAAAUCUGGAAGACUUCCUGGGCGAGGCGGUACACAGCCGAUCUUGAAGUCCCGUGUGGGGAUUUGGGAGAGAGGAAGGUUUGCAGAAGAGAACAGUGUGUGGAGGGGCAGCAAAGCCAGAGAAGGACAAAGGUAAAAAGGUACAGUCUAGGAAUAGUAGGUAAUGCAGUUGGUUGCGUAAGGCCACGGUGAGGAGUGGCGUGGGAACGGGGGGCGGUCGCCACAGUCGUUUGGGGUCCACAUCCUGGAAUACGGUAGAGGAGCUGUUUGAGUGGUAUUCUAAGGAAAACUUAGAGCUCAUUUCUCAGUGACUCAUGGGCCUAGAAAUGGAAGCUGGGGAAUAUUAAAGGCGUUNNNNNNNNNNNNNNNNNNNNNNNNNNNNNNNNNNNNNNNNNNNNNNNNNNNNNNNNNNNNNNNNNNNNNNNNNNNNNNNNNNNNNNNNNNNNNNNNNNNCUGGGGAAUAUUAAAGGCGUUCCUGUGAAAGAAAGGAGAGAAGGAGGCCCAGUAGAGAGUUGACAUUCUGUGCCUUGAAUAUAGCGCACUUUGAGAUAGGUUUUGACAGCUUUCUGGACGUUCAGAUAAAUCCAUGUCCAGGCUAGGCCAAAGUACCUUUUGCAGAAAACUUCAUUAGAUGUCAGACUUUUAAGAAGUAAUGGAAAGUUGUGUAUAAAAUGAGAUGUUUCUGUUGGUGCGGUUCACUAAAAUGCAUCAGAACUUCUCACACUGUGUAUUAGAUGGCUACAUUUUGGGACUGCUGAGCUGAACAUAACUCAGUUCUUUGAGAUGGUGUUUGUGUAAGGCAGUAUAAAUGGAUGUUUUAAAACAUCAGAUUGUUACUAAUAAAAAGUUGGACAUAGAAACUUUUUGUAGGAAGGUAAAUAUUUCUUUAUUAGAUUUUUAGUUAUGGAAAUGUAGAACUAGAAGUGAAAGUCUUUGGCUUUAUUUUGUUCCAUUUUUCCAGAUACCUAACUAAUAAAGUCCCUGUAUUUGAAGUCUUAAAAGUCUAUGGACGCAGCUUAGAACCAGUGUUGGUUUUGUGAGCACUUACUUGUUGUUUGCUUAUAUGACAAGUGAAUGUCAGUUUUUUUCAGUUAAAAAGACAGACUUGUAAAAUGCAGGAAGUAUUGUGAAAUUUUUAAAAAUUAUCUUCUGUAAUCUUAUCGCUUAGAUUUUGUUCUUGUUAACAUUUUUGCAUGUUUCCUUUUUAUUUUUUAUAUUUUCUUUACAUAAUGAAAUAAACUAUACACAUAUAUAUGUAUAGUUUUUAUUAGGCUUUUCCUUUUUGUCAUUGAAUAUCUUCAUAUAAAAAUGUUUUUACCCCGAUGUAAGGGAAAUCUUCUUAAGUAUAUUUUUUCUGUCAGGAUUGCCUUAUUUACCUCAGAUAAAAUGCAGUAGUCAUGCUUAGUAAUUAUUGCUGAGACAGAACUUUUUGUUAAGCCUUCUUGUUUGAAGACUUUGUUAAUUUUUCUGUAAGAUUUGGAUCCUAUUGCUUAUUGAAUAAAGAAAGGCUUUAUCAUUUGGAAUGUGUGCUGUCAUCAGGUACAGAAGAGAUCGCAGACUUCUGUUUUAUGAGUGGAUGUAGUUUUAAAAGCCGCUAUAAAAAGAGUACUUUCAUAACUGGUAUAAUAUUUCCCAUACACUGUGAUGCACCUCCCCCACCCACCACACCCACCUCCCCCUCCCCUGAGAAAGUCUUUAUGCUAAGGCCAUCCAUAUAUAGGUUAACUACCUUUUGAUCAUGACAUCACAAAGAUUUAGGCUAGACGUAUUUCAUCUUUCUGUUGGUAUUUCUUGGUGAAAUACAGAAUUUGUUGUGAAAUAAUUUGCUGCUGUAACAAAAGGGACUUUUUAAAAUUUCAUGGCAGAUCACCGUAGUUCAUUAGCAGGUUCUUAUUUAAACCCAUUUUCCCCUUGUGCUUUACAAUCUGUAUUAGUGAGGUCUUUGUUUAUGUUUCUCAUGGUGUUUAAAGUGGGAUACUGUGUUAGAUUGUGCAAGUUUUCAUAAGGUUAAUACAAAAGAAUCGCUGAGAAAGCCCAGUUUAAUUAUGGGGCUUAGUUUUAUAAUAUGGUUUCAUUUUUUUAUGUAUGUAUUUAUUUAUUUUUUGGCCACACUCUAUGGCAUGUGGGAUCUUAGUUCCCAGGUCAGGGAUUGAACCUGUGUCCCUGGCAGAGUCUUAAUCGCUGGACCUCAGGGAAGUGUGAAUGUGGUUUUAUUUGAAUCUUUAUUUGGAUGUUGUAAAUGUAUACCACACGGCAUCCUUUAUUACUUUUAAAUAUUUGUUAAAGUAUUUUUCUUCGGAUAAACUGCUUUAGGUUAUGUGUGUGUGUGUGUGCUAGUCACUUAGUCGUCCCCGACUCUUUGUGACCCCAUAGACUGCAGCCCACCAGGCUCCUCUGUCCNNNNNNNNNNNNNNNNNNNNNNNNNNNNNNNNNNNNNNNNNNNNNNNNNNNNNNNNNNNNNNNNNNNNNNNNNNNNNNNNNNNNNNNNNNNNNNNNNNNUUUGUGACCCCAUAGACUGCAGCCCACCAGGCUCCUCUGUCCAUGGGAUUCUCCCAGUAAGAAUACUGGAAUGGGUUGCCAUUGCCUUCUGCAUCUUUAGGUUAUAGAUUUCCACAGUAACUGCCAUACUAUACCAGGAGCCUUUUUUCCAGGAGAAGUUGAUUAUUCACAGUUGUACCAUCUGCCAUAAAAAUACAGACACAAACCCAAAUCCCCCCACUUUGGCAGGGAAAAUUAAAAUCUGGUUACCUUUCCAGUGGUAUCUCUUUUAAAAAUCAGUUUCCCUCCUUUCCGUGGCUCCUUUCACUUAGAAAUUUGAUUAUAUGGGUGUUGUCUGGUGUUAGCAGAAAUAGGAAUCUUUUAGGCGGAUUGGUACAGAAAAUGGCAAAAUGUUGAUAAAACUUUAUGUGAUGAAAUUGUGGGAAAGAUGAUCAAAUCUUUGAACCUCUGGAUGAGAUUGCUUGUGAUUUCUUUUGUUAUUAUUGAGGUUAUAAAGAUCUUGUAUUUGUAUGAAUGCAUAUCAAACCAAGUAGCCUAAAUAUUACAUAACAAUUUAAUCAUCAGUCUAUAUUUUUUAUUGAAAAGAAGUUUUGGAGCCAUCCUUAAUUUAAAAAGGAAUUGAGCUGUGUGAGUUCUUAUUUUGUGUGUCUUACCACUCAAGUGACUAUCCAACUGGACCCUAAUGACUACCUUUAUCAGUCCAUAGUAUGAGGGCAGAACAAAGUGAGGCAAACGUUUCUACCACCAGUAUUUAUAGAGUAGAUCCGUCUGGAAGUAAACGCUAAAUGUUCUGUUUCUCAGGCCUUCCAAAGAUUCUGAAAAGUUAUUGUAAGACUGGGCAGCAGAUAAUAGAUUGUGGUGAUGAAAACGGCUUAUUGCAGUCAACAUUUUUGGGAGGAGGGGGUGUGUGUGCGUGCAUACGUAUGUGUUCUUUGAUGUACCAUUUCUACUCUGUUGAGCUUCUUGGCCCUACUGUGCUUUCAACUUUUCUCUUGAGAUAGGGGUGAGGGGAUGGCAGAAUUGUGGUUUUUAGCAACUGUGAUGUCAGGUUGGCAGAGGAAGGAAGAGUGGCAUUCAGAGAAUUGCAGGAAAUCAGUCAGGUGUGAAGUAGCUCCAAAGGAGAGAGGUCAAGUCUGCCCUGGUCAUUUAUGUUGGGCAGUGGCCGGCACAUACUUGUUUUCAUAACCCUUCCUACGUUGUGUCUAGUUUGAGCUUUCGAUGAUCUGAACACAGCGUUUAGGCUGUAAGUUUGUAUGUGCUUCUUUAUAUGUGUAUGUGCAUUUUCCUGUGUGCAGUCACAAAGGCAGAAAAAU
rnacentral:lncRNA from 1 species